UCGUGGUGGUGGUGGCCGACCGCAAAAAGCCAUCAGAGGAAAAUAGCGAGAGACCGGACGUUGCUUGGGCGCGUAGGCUCCACGUGAGGAACGGGCGUUUGAGGAGGAUGCGCCCAAUGGAUAAAUCAGAGCCGGCGGGAGGAGCGGAACAAAAGGAGGCAUGCUUAGAUUCCACCUUCUCAAGACUCGAGUGUGUGACCAGUGCAGCGUAUUUUAAGGCUGUGUCCACUCCCGCAAUGGUGCAGCCCUCCCUCUCGCAGGUCCGCCGCCCGUCUGCGCACUUCGACAAAAUAUACCCACGUGGGAUCUGAGGCUGUAUUUUGUCACCACCAACUUGAAGGAAAAAGCAAUGUUUUGCAAUCGAGGCAUUAGGUCUUGAGGAAAAUGCUUUCAGUUGUGAGGGGCGUGUUACAUUUUGCCAAGAAAGCAGGAAUUGAUAGGGCUUAAAAAAAGUCCACUGUAUAUUUUACUUCAUGCCGUGUUUAGCUGGAACAUCACCAAAUUUUGUCACAAAAAACAAAACAUUUUUUAAACAAAACAAAAAAAAAACCUGUGUCUUAUUUAAAAGAAAAAAGGGGUGGGGGUAGAAAUUGCAAUUGAAUUCUUCUGGGAAAGCACCUUGUUUUCCCGCCGCGAAUUCGGAAAAGAGUCAAGAAUGGUGUGUGCUGUCAUGUAAAGCGAGAGAGAAGCCAGAUGAGGAGGGAGUAAAAGCGCUGUAUCGAUGUGGCGGCCCAUUGAAAAACACUGAUGCCGUUGUUGCACCCCCACCAUGGAAUGCAGCAAUGCACUUGGGUGGGUGGGGCGUGGGGGGCAUUGUGUGGAUGGAGGCCGGAUGCCCAGCCAAAUAUUGUCUAGUCUCAGCUUCAACUUCACAGCACUAAAUCUGUCCUUGCGUCUGUACUUUUUGACUUAAGUGCGAGAGUAGAAUCAGUCUCAGUACUCGCGCUUGGCCAGUCCAAAGUAGUGCCUGUGAGGACUUUUGCCAACCUCUGGCCAGUAACGUACAAUCUCUGUGUGAAAGAGGCGCGAGUGCCCAUUGUGGGCACGCACGCGGCUGCUCGCUGUCAAAAGAAGACGUGCACACUACUGGGAGAGGCCGCGAGCCUGCCUGGAAUUUAAAAAAAA